AACGAACGCUGGCGGCGUGGAUAAGACAUGCAAGUCGAACGGGAACAAGUGGAUAGCAAUAUUCGCUUGUUCUAGUGGCGAAAGGGUGCGUAACACGUAGCUACUUACCUCGAAGUGAGGGAUAGCCCGGCGAAAGCCGGAUUAAUACCGCAUGUGAUCGAGAGAUCAAAGCUGGGGAUAGUAAGACCUGGCGCUGCGAGAUAGGGCUGCGGCCUAUCAGGUAGUUGGCGGGGUAAUGGCCCACCAAGCCUAAGACGGGUAGCUGGUCUGAGAGGACGACCAGCCACACUGGAACUGAGACACGGUCCAGACACCUACGGGUGGCAGCAGUCGAGGAUUUUUCUCAAUGGGGGAAACCCUGAAGGAGCGACGCCGCGUGAGGGAUGAAGGUCUUCGGAUUGUAAACCUCUGUCAUGCGGGAUCAAAGCACACGACCCAACACGUCGUGUGUUGAUAGUACUGCAAGAGGAAGCAGUGGCUAACUCUGUGCCAGCAGCCGCCGUAAGAC
rnacentral:rRNA from 1 species